AAUUCCAGUACCACACGGCUGUGAAAGACUGAUCUAUCGUUAUCUGAAGCAUUCAGGGGUUGCAGAUAUUGCUGCUAAAGUUGGCAAUUAGUUUUUUUACAUGGAUGAUAGGUGUUGAUAAAAUAAAAUAAAAACGCUAUGCAAUAACUCAGGUGGCCUUUGUUUUAUGUUGUAUUUUGUUUUAAAUUCUUAAGCUAUUUAGUAUGAUAUAUACACAAAACCAGAAGAAAUCAGGGUGCAGCAAAUACAUUUUCACAGCACUGUUAUUGUGGCCUUUUUAUUUCAUAUGAUACAUUGCUUAAACUUGCUGCAACCACUUCCGACACUUCAAGUGAACCACAAACAUAUCCUGUGCGAAUAUAAUAACAACAGCAUCAUGGUUGAAUUUUCACAUUACUAUAGUGGACUUGUACAACAGCUGACUUUUCAUAGAUCUAAAUCAAACAGAUUGCAGAAUCUAAAAGCCCUUACAAAAAUGUUUAAAAAGUUAAAGUUUGGGAAGAAGAAAAAAACAGCCAGGAAUACACAUGAGCAGUAUCGUCUGAUCAAAGACAUACCAACACAGCACACAGAGACCACGGAUGCAGGAGAACAGGAAAGCACAGUCGAUGAGAUGCCAUCCUGUUCAGGUGUUGAAGUGAGUGGCGAGGCAGGGCUUAAUAUUCUCAGAACAAUUCUUAGUGAACAAUCAAACCCAGAGGACGCGGACACUGCAGCUGCAAUGCCAAAAAUCAGCUUCUCUCAAGAAUGGCAAAAUAAGUACCUUCAGGAAAUAGAUCAGUUUGUGGAGAACCAUUUUCCCAGGCUGCCAGCUGAGAGAACUCAAAAAUCUCAGUUGGAGCAGAUACCGGACUUUCUAAAGAGCGCACAGACUAUGAUAUGCAAUGGUGUUCGUCGAUUAACACCUGCACUGAAAGAUGCUGGGCUGCUAGAUCAUCUGAUGGACAGUUACAGCCGUCACCUCUUUACCAACCUGGACCUGCUGCUAAACAGAGAUCUGUCUGUGAAAGAGAUCUUCUGCCUUCUACUGUGGGGAAAAGAUUUUUUCUUCAGUUCAGAAUCAAAACUGAGAGUGUACGAUCCUCUGCUGUUGACAGGAGGGUUUGAGUGUGCAAAGCAGAAACUACUGCAAGUACUUAAGGGUGACAUCUCCAAGUGUCUACAGAAAAUCCUGUGCGAAGAUGAGGAACAUGGACAUAAUAAGGAAUCAAUGGAUGAAGAAACUUUCUUCCAAGUGCACAUAGAUGUCAUUCAGGUCCUGAAUUGUACUAUUGUUGAAGCUGAAAAGGUUGGUCUGACUUUGAUGCAUGCCGUACAAAUACUCUGUAGUGGAGAGCUGCAUGAUUUUGUUCAGAAGUAUGUGGAUGCUAAGAAUGAACAUCUUAAAAAACUAAAGUUUACAGAGAAAAACUCUGUGAAUCUCUUUCGGCUAAUCAACACCUGCAUGCAACUCAGAUGCUAUGCUGCACAAAUCACUCCAGAUGUUAGCAACAGUGAUGUCUACUCAAGCACUAUAUGCAUGCUACAGAAACUGGAAGAUAAAGCUUCAUCCAUUGUACAAAAUAUCAUGAACUGCUUAGCACAGGCUAAAUUAGAAAGUUUUUUCAAGAAAAGGAAUGGGCAUAUUGAUAUCCUAAUGGAGGCAAUCCAAAAGCAGUGUGCAUCUCUGCCUGAGACUGCCUCAGAGAUCAAAACGGUCAUUGUGAAAAUAGCUUACGACAGUGUUUCCAAAGUGUACCUGGAUUGCCUGAUGAAGACAAACUUCAGAAACCUAGAGCAGCGUUGGGGAAAUGCUGAGGAAAAUAUAAAAGAGGAUGUUCAAUAUUUUCAAGAAACAUUCUCUGAACUGAAUGUCAGUGCUAACCAGCAGAACCAGCUCCUUCAGAGAAUGAGUGAAGUUUUGCUUUGCAGUGAUGUAGAAGCACUGAAGAUUACCUGUUGCAAUUUGUUGAGAGAUUUCCCUCAGGAGAGUAAGCAGUAUGUACCUGGUCUGCUGCGCUGGAAGGGGGUUUUAUCAGAGCAACAGGUGAGGGAAGUGCUGGAUGUGACCCAGGAUAUGAUCCAGGAAUUUGGCCUGAAUCCAAUUCCUACACGUGUCACCCGUUGUCCUCUGAAGGGACUUUUUUGCUGUAAAUAGUGUAUAUAUAUAUAUAUAUAUAUAUAUAUAUAUAUAUAUAUAUACAGUCAUGGCCAAAAAUAUCGGCAAAAUAUCCAGCAAAAACAACACAUAAAUGGGUCACUGAGCACAAAACCAAGCUUCUGCUAUGGCCAUUCCAGUCCUCUGACCUGAACCCUAUAGAAAAUCAGUGGAGUGAACUGAAGAGGAGAAGCACCAACAUAUGGAGCUGGGAAUCUAAAGGGUCUGGAGUUAAUUCUGGAUGAAGGAAUGGUCUCUGAUCUCUUGUCAGGUGUUCUCUAACCUCAUCAGGCAUUAUAGAAGAACAUUUAGACCUGUUAAACUGGCAAAUUGAGGUUUCAAAAAGUAUUGAAUAAAAGAGUGCCGUUAAUUGUGGCCAAUGUGUAUUUGAGAAAAACCUUUAUUUCAUAAUGAUAUUUCCCCCCAUUUUGAACUCUUAUUAUCCAAUGAAAGGAUACAUUUUUGUGAAUUUUUUUAAAUAAAAGAUCAAAAGGAUUAACAAUGCAGAUGCAUUUUUACAGCCUUCUUUGAUCAUAUUUACCAAGGCUGCUGAUAUUUUUGUGACUGUAUAUAUAUAUAUAUAUAUAUAUAUAUAUAUACACACACACACACACACACACACACAUACAUGUAUAUACACAUACAUAUACAUAUGUUAACCUAUAUGUAUUACAAAAUAAGUGAAAAUAUACAAAGAAUUUGUGUUAUUUAAUCCUCUUUUAUGUAGUUCAGUUGGUAAAAGGGAUUUUUUUAACAAGGUCCUAAAUCUUUUCUUUCACAACUGUCUACACUGAAUGCAGGCAUCAAAGCUGCAGAGCUACUCCAGUAACUUUAUUUUCUCAGUCUGUCUGAAAUAAAAAAUACUUUUUAAAAUGUGUCCAACCAUUAAUUCAUGUAGCCCACUUAUUAUGUUAAUGCUGUUACUUUCUCCUCCUGAUAUUAAGAUGUGUUUUUGGUGAUCUGAUCGAUUGAAAAUAAAGGUGGAAUUGGAAAAAAAUUAACCAUGUAAAGCCUAAAGUUUGAAAUAAUAGUCUGAACAAUUCACAUUUUUUGAAGUGGAACUGUUUAUUGAAACUUUAUAUACCUACUUGCAUAAAAUGCAUAUAAACCAGCUGUCACUCGAUAUCUCCCAAUCAUAUUCUUAAUAAGAUGGUAUUUAAAUACUUAGUUUAUGAUCAAAGCUCUGUAGUUUUUCUUGUGGGGCAAAACAUAAUGCAAUACAAUGAUGAUUGAGAGAUGAACUAAUGAAUAUUACUCAAAUGCCUGAUGGGUUUUUUGAUGGGAUUUUUCUAAAAAAAAAAAAAAAAAGAUAUAUGGAUAAUCAAGUAAAGCUAAGUUGUUGUUGGGUAUGAGUCCCCGGCCAAGAUGGCCGCCACGCCAGAGUCCCCGGCCAAGAUGGCCGCCACGCCAGAGUCGCCGGCCAAGAUGGCCGCCACGCCAGAGUCCCCGGCCAAGAUGGCCGCCACGUCAAGUCUUGGCAGACACUGAGACUGUUCCCGUGGCCUCAGUACUUCUAAUAAGGGCAGUCGCCAUUUUGAGUGUGUGGGCAACUCACUGCAUUCCAGAGACUUUUCCUGUCCACGAGCUCUCUGCCUGUCCUGUCACGGCCAAGGAGGACAUCCACGAGCUCUCUGCCUGUCCUGUCACAACCAGGGAGGACAUCCACGAGCUCUCUGCCUGUCCUGUCACGGCCAAGGAGGACAUCCACGAGCUCUCUGCCUGUCCUGUCUCGGCCACGGAGGCUGCUCAUGAGCUCACUGCCUGUCCUGUAACGGCCAAGUGGUCUGUCCAUGUCUCUGCUUCACCAUGGUUUCCAGCUCUGCCUGCACUGCCUGGCCACCCCGCUGGGCCUACUCCGCCAUGGCUCCCCGCUAGGACUGCUCCGCCAUGGCUCCAUUUUCUGUCACUGCUUCAUGGCCCAGGUCCACCUCUGCUUCAUGGUCUGUCACUGCUUCAUGGCCCAGGUCCCCCUCUGCUUCCUGAUCUGUCACUGCUUCAUGGCCGAGGUCCCCCUCUGCUUCAUGGUCUGUCUCUGCUCCACGGCCCAGGUCCCCCUCUGUUCCAUGAUCUGUCACUGCUUCAUGGCCCAGGUCCACCUCUGCUCCAUGGUCUGUCACUGCUCCAUGGCCCAGGUCCCCCUCUGCUUCAAGGUCUGUCUCUGCUCCACAGCCCAGGUCCCCCUCUGCUUCAUGAUCUGUCACUGCUUCAUGGCCCAGGUCCCCCUCUGUUCCAUGAUCUGUCACUGCUUCAUGGCCCAGGUCCCCCUCUGUUCCAUGAUCUGUCACUGCUUCAUGGCCCAGGUCCCCCUCUGUUCCAUGGUCUGUCUCUGCUCCAUGGCCCAGGUCCCCCUCUGUUCCAUGAUCUGUCACUGCUUCAUGGCCCAGGUCCCCCUCUGUUCCAUGAUCUGUCACUGCUUCAUGGCCCAGGUCCCCCUCUGUUCCAUGGUCUGUCACUGCUUCAUGGCCCAGGUCCCCCUCUGUUCCAUGGUCUGUCAAUGCUUCAUGGCCCAGGUCCCCCUCUGCUUCAUGGUCUGUUCCUCCUCCACUCCACCACACUCCUGGACUUUUUGGGUUUAGUUUGUUUGAGCUUCAGGAGCCGCCCUUAGAGGGGGGGAAAUGUAAUGUCUGUUUUGGGUUUUGUUUCAUGUUCAUGUUUUCAUGUCUUUUAUUUUGUAGUUUGAUUUUGCUGUUUGUGUCAUGCUUCCCUUGCCCUCAUGUAUCUCUGCUUUGUGUAUGUGUCAUGUUCUCAUUGGUUAGUCUAGUCUGUUCAUGCCACGUCAAGUCUGUUCAAGUCAAGUCUUUGUUUAUUGUUUGGAUUUCACUGUAAAUAAACUGCACUUGGGUUCAUCACUACACUCGCCUUCAGUGGACUGUUUGUUACAGAUGUUUGGUCCAUUAAGUGUUCAUCUUGAAAUAUUAAUAACAAUAUAAAAAGUCUAUUUUAUAAAAACAGCAAAGAUUUCAUUACUAAAAGCCAUGUGAACUACGACCUGAAGGUGGACAUUUUUGCAAUGUUGUUACAAUGUACAAUCGUACUAAAAGGCCUUUUACUCACUAAAAAGUAGUAUAUUGAGUGCAACAGGUUUUUAGGCAAAGUUUUGGUUAUACUGAUUUAGAAGCCUUAGAAGAAUUUCUGUAUCAAAUAUGAGUAGUCUUUAAGCAGUAGGGUUUAAGCAGCAUUAAAGCACUGCAAGGUAAUCUGUUGGUUUGUCAGCAUUCCAUAACCUCACAGUGAUGGGAAAUAGAUGGAUUCGGUUUUACCAGUACUGCCACUUGAUCUACUAUGUUUGUGUUUCGAUUCAGUAAAAGUACAAGCUACUGCCACUCCUAAGGGCUGUUUUAUCACUUUUAUUUUCCCUUUCCCUUUUAUAAGAUGUAACUUCUUGCCACUGUACAUGGUCUUUGGUACAAACCCGAUUCCAAAAAAGUUGGGACACUGUACAAAUUGUGAAUAAAAACAGAAUGCAAUGAUGUGGAAGUUUCAAAUUUCAAUAUUUUAUUCAGAAUACAACACAGAUGACAUAUCAAAUGUUUAACCUGAGAAAAUGUAUCAUUUUAAGGGAAAAAUAAGUUGAUUUUUAAAUUUCAUGGCAUCAACACAUCUCAAAAAAGUUGUGACAAGGCCAUGUUUAUCACUGUGUGGCAUCCCCUCUUCUUUUAAUAAUGCUUCACCAUGGUUUCCAGCUCUGCCUGCACUGCCUGGCCACCCCGCUGGGCCUACUCCGCCAUGGCUCCCCGCUAGGACUGCUCCGCCAUGGCUCCAUUUUCUGUCACUGCUUCAUGGCCCAGGUCCACCUCAGCUCCAUGGUCUGUCACUGCUUCAUGGCCCAGGUCCCCCUCUGCUUCAUAGUCUGUCACUGCUUCAUGGCCCAGGUCCCCCUCUGCUUCCUGGUCUGUCACUGCUUCAUGGCCCAGGUCCCCCUCUGUUCCAUGAUCUGUCACUGCUUCAUGGCCCAGGUCCACCUCUGUUCCAUGAUCUGUCUCUGCUCCACAGCCCAGGUCCCCCUCUGCUUCAUGAUCUGUCACUGCUUCAUGGCCCAGGUCCACCUCUGCUCCAUGGUCUGUCUCUGCUCCACGGCCCAGGUCCCCCCCUCUGUUCCAUGGUCUGUCACUGCUUCAUGGCCCAGGUCCCCCUCUGUUCCAUGGUCUGUCACUGCUUCAUGGCCCAGGUCCCCCUCUGUUCCAUGAUCUGUCACUGCUUCAUGGCCGAGGUCCCCCUCUGCUUCAUGGUCUGUUCCUCCUCCACUCCACCACACUCCUGGACUUUUUGGGUUUAGUUUGUUUGGGCUUCAGGAGCCGCCCUUAGAGGGGGGGAAAUGUAAUGUCUGUUUUGUGUUUUGUUUCAUGUUCAUGUUUUCAUGUCUUUUAUUUUGUAGUUUGAUUUUGCUGUUUGUGUCAUUCUUCCCUUGCCCUCAUGUAUCUCUGCUUUGUGUAUGUGUCAUGUUCUCAUUGGUUAGUCUAGUCUGUUCAUGCCACGUCAAGUCUGUUCAAGUCAAGUCUUUGUUUAUUGUUUGGAUUUCACUGUAAAUAAACUGCACUUGGGUUCAUCACUACACUCGCCUUCAGUGGACUGUUUGUUACAGAUGUUUGGUCCAUUAAGUGUUCAUCUUGAAAUAUUAAUAACAAUAUAAAAAGUCUAUUUUAUAAAAACAGCAAAGAUUUCAUUACUAAAAGCCAUGUGAACUACAACCUGAAGGUGGACAUUUUUGCAAUGUUGUUACAAUGUACAAUCGUACUAAAAGGCCUUUUACUCACUAAAAAGUAGUAUAUUGAGUGCAACAGGUUUUUAGGCAAAGUUUUGGUUAUACUGAUUUAGAAGCCUUAGAAGAAUUUCUGUAUCAAAUAUGAGUAGUCUUUAAGCAGUAGGGUUUAAGCAGCAUUAAAGCACUGCAAGGUAAUCUGUUGGUUUGUCAGCAUUCCAUAACCUCACAGUGAUGGGAAAUAGAUGGAUUCGGUUUUACCAGUACUGCCACUUGAUCUACUAUGUUUGUGU
ensembl:lncRNA